rnacentral:rRNA from 1 species
UACGUAGGUGGCAAGCGUUGUCCGGAUUUACUGGGCGUAAAGAGCGCGCAGGCGGUCGUUCAAGUCGCGUGUGAAAGCCCCCGGCUCAACUGGGGAGGGUCACUCGAUACUGAUCGACUCGAAGGCAGGAGAGGGAAGCGGAAUUCCCGGUGUAGUGGUGAAAUGCGUAGAUAUCGGGAGGAACACCAGUGGCGAAGGCGCUUUCUGGCCUGCUCUUGACGCUGAGGCGCGAAAGCUAGGGUAGCAAACGGG